rnacentral:rRNA from 1 species
GGCUUAGAGUUUGAUCAUGGCUCAGGACGAACGCUGGCGGCGUGCCUAAUACAUGCAAGUAGAACGCUGAAGAAAGGAGCUUGCUUCUUUUGGAUGAGUUGCGAACGGGUGAGUAACGCGUAGGUAACCUGCCUUGUAGCGGGGGAUAACUAUUGGAAACGAUAGCUAAUACCGCAUAACAGCUUUUGACACAUGUUAGAAGCUUGAAAGAUGCAAUUGCAUCACUACGAGAUGGACCUGCGUUGUAUUAGCUAGUAGGUAGGGUAACGGCCUACCUAGGCGACGAUACAUAGCCGACCUGAGAGGGUGAUCGGCCACACUGGGACUGAGACACGGCCCAGACUCCUACGGGAGGCAGCAGUAGGGAAUCUUCGGCAAUGGGGGCAACCCUGACCGAGCAACGCCGCGUGAGCGAAGAAGGUUUUCGGAUCGUAAAGCUCUGUUGUAAGAGAAGAAUGUGUGUGAGAGUGGAAAGUUCACACAGUGACGGUAACUUACCAGAAAGGGACGGCUAACUACGUGCCAGCAGCCGCGGUAAUACGUAGGUCCCGAGCGUUGUCCGGAUUUAUUGGGCGUAAAGCGAGCGCAGGCGGUUUAAUAAGUCUGAAGUUAAAGGCAGUGGCUUAACCAUUGUUCGCUUUGGAAACUGUUAAACUUGAGUGCAGAAAGGGAGAGUGGAAUUCCAUGUGUAGCGGUGAAAUGCGUAGAUAUAUGGAGGAACACCGGUGGCGAAAGCGGCUCUCUGGUCUGUAACUGACGCUGAGGCUCGAAAGCGUGGGGAGCAACAGGAUUAGAUACCCUGGUAGUCCACGCCGUAACGAUGAGUGCUAGUGUUAGGCCCUUUCNGGGCUUAGUGCCGCAGCUAACGCA